GAUGAACGCUGGCGGCGUGCCUAAUACAUGCAAGUCGAGCGAACAAACGAGGCGCUUGCUUGGCUUACGUUAGCGACGGACGGGUAAGGACCACGAGGAUAACCGGCCUAUAAGAAUAGGAUAAGGUCAGGGAACCUAAGCUCAUACCGGAUAAUAUAGUGAACCGGAUGGUUCAUUAGAGCAAAAGCGAUUUGCUGUCCCUAAUACAUAGAACCUAGCCGCAUUAGCUAGUUGGUAAGGUAACGGCUUACCAAGGCAACGAUGCGUAGCCGACCUGAGAGGGUGAUCGGCCACACUGGAACUGAGACACGGUCCAGACUCCUACGGGAGGCAGCAGUAGGGAAUCUUCCGCAAUGGGCGAAAGCCUGACGGAGCAACGCCGCGUGAGUGAUGAAGGUCUUCGGAUCGUAAAACUCUGUUAGUAGGGAAGAACAAAUGUGUAAGUAACUAUGCACGUCUUGACGGUACCUAAUCAGAAAGCCACGGCUAACUACGUG
rnacentral:rRNA from 1 species